rnacentral:rRNA from 1 species
CGCUUAAUUGCGCGGCGAUAAACCUUACACACAUUGUCUAGUUUUUUUGAACUUUGCUUUGGGUGCAUCAGCCUAGCUGCGUGCCCAAAGGUCUAAACACAUUUUUUAAUGUUAAAACCUUUAACCAAUAGUCAUGAAAAUUUUUAACAAAAAUUAAAAUCUUCAAAACUUUCAACAACGGAUCUCUUGGUUCUCGCAACGAUGAAGAACGCAGCGAAAUGCGAUACGUAUUGUGAAUUGCAGAUUUUCGUGAAUCAUCGAAUCUUUGAACGCACAUUGCACCCUCUGGUAUUCCAGAGGGUAUGCCUGUUUGAGCGUCAUUUCUCUCUCAAACCUUCGGGUUUGGUAUUGAGUGAUACUCUGUCAAGGGUUAACUUGAAAUAUUGACUUAGCAAGAGUGUACUAAUAAGCAGUCUUUCUGAAAUAAUGUAUUAGGUUCUUCCAACUCGUUAUAUCAGCUAGGCAGGUUUAGAAGUAUUUUAGGCUCGGCUUAACAACAAUAAACUAAAAGUUUGACCUCAAAUCAGGUAGGACUACCCGCUGAACUUAAGCAUAUCAAUA